AGUGAACGCUGGCGGUAGGCCUAACACAUGCAAGUCGAACGGCCAGACAGUGAGCUUUCUCCUUUACCGGUGGCGAGUGGCGGACGGGUGACGAAUACAUCGCCAUCUUCUUUUUCGGGGGGGAUAACGUGGGGAAGCUUAUGAUAAUACCGAAUAUGACCUACGGGUGAGUGCAGGGGUUCUUCGCAGCUUGCGUGACUGAUAUAGCUGAAGCCGGAUUAGCUAGUUGGCGGGGUAAAGGCCCACCAAGGCAACGAUACGUAGCUGACCUGAGAGGGUGAUCGGCCACACUGGAACUGAGACACGGUCCAGACUCCUACGGGAGGCAGCAGUAGGGAAUAUUGGGCAAUGGGCGAAAGCCUGAUCGAGCAAUGCCGCGUGAGUGAAGAAGGUCUUCGGGUCGUAAAGCCCUGUUGUUGGGGAAGAACAGAAGCGGAAUAAUCCCCGGCCGUUUUGACGGUACCCAAAGAAUAAGCACCGGCUAACUACGUG
rnacentral:rRNA from 1 species